CUUCGGCAGCCUCUUGAAGAGCGGCGACGGCACUGCUUUGGAACCUCAAAUCCGUCUUGAAAUCUUGAGCAAUUUCUCUCACAAGCCUCUGGAACGGAAGCUUUCGGAUCAAGAGUUCGGUGCUCUUCUGGUACUUCCUGAUUUCCCUAAGAGCUACAGUUCCUGGCCUGAAACGGUGAGGCUUCUUCACUCCUCCGGUCGCCGGUGCUGACUUCCGGGCAGCCUUCGUGGCUAGCUGCUUACGUGGAGCCUUGCCGCCGGUUGAUUUCCUAGCAGUUUGCUUGGUACGAGCCAUGUGUUGAACAAUUUAAUACUACAGUAAGAGAAUUUGGCUGUUUGGAUUGCAAGAAAAAGGAUAAUUUGUAGAAAGUAUUUUCGAUGAAGUACUUAAGAGAAUUUGGAGGGGAUAUAUAAAGGGGAAUUUCGGGGAGCGGGAAUUUUUUAAAUUGGGAUUGUGUUCGGGAUUGUGAGGGCCGAUCUAAGCCGUUCAUUAAUGAGAUAUCCGGACGGGUGUGAUCAAAUAAAGCUGGUGAGAACUGGAUAGCAAUCCACGUGACAUUCAAACAGCCAAUGAAAUUCAUUCAUUUUUCAUUUUUCCUUUUGUUCAUAUUGCUCUUCACAUUCACAUAAUACUUUAUUAUGCUCCUAAAACUAAAAAGUCAAAAUUUAAAUUUUACAAGUUUCAUGCGUUAUUUAUUUAAAUGUUUAAUUAUUUUAGUUUAAUUAUUCAUAUAUUUAAAAUUUCAAUUAAUGUAAGUAAUUAUUUUAAAUUUUUUAUACAAUGUCUAGUUUUUUUCAAUGCCGCAAUAAUAAUAGUGCUAAUUAAUUAAAUUAAGGUUGAAUAAUUAUUUUAAGUAUACAAAUUAAUUAUUUUUAUUUAUUUGAUAAAAUAUUUUUUAUUCAUUUAGUAUGAAAUAAUUAAAAUAUUCUAUUUUUAUACAUUUUAAUAAUUAAAACUAUAGUGAACGUGUAACUUAAUAUAAAUAUAAAUUGUAAUUCCAUAUUUAUAGGAUUUUAUCUAUUUUAAUUUUACUUAACUUUAAUAUAAUAAUAAAUAAUAAUAAACAUAAAUUACAAUAGAAGUGUAUCAAUAUGAAUAUAAAGUGUAAUAAGAUAUCUUCAUUCACCCUUUCAAACUUAUUUUAAUUUUAUUAUGAAUAUUAUUCAUUUAAUAUAUUAUUAGUCCAAAUAAAUUUUUAUUUUAUUUACUAAAUUAAUUCAAAAAAAUUCAAGUUAUUAUGACAAAAAUUCUGCACUAAAGGUACAAAUUUCUCUAAUCACGACAUUAGAAUUUGAAAUCCGCUGGGACAAAAAUUACAUGUUAAAUCCAAUGACUUCGAAAAUGUUUAAAGGCAUUAAGGAACAUAAGGCAGACUGCUGGAAAAGCAGAUUUCAGCUGUGGGGAACAAUAGAAUUUGAAAUCCGCAACUAUCCCAAUGUGUGUGUGUGCUGCACAUCUCUACACCGCCUCACCAAAAAGAAUCAGAAACAAUCACCAGAUUAAAUGUGGAAUAAAACAAGCAAAACUUAUACGGUUGAACCUCGCAAUUUGAAGGAUAUGUUCCGAUUUCAUGAAACCGUUUAAAUUCCACAGAAUUUCAUUAAUGAUUUGCAGAGACUGCAGAUACAACAAAAUGAACAGAAAGUACAGAUUUCUAAUUCUAGGAAUCAAUCAACUAAAAACUAACAGACCUAAGCUCUCUCUCCUCUAAUCCUCCUAGCAAGUUGGAUAUCUUUAGGCAUAAUGGUAACCCUCUUAGCAUGAAUAGCACACAGAUUAGUAUCCUCGAACAGUCCGACAAGGUAAGCUUCAGCAGCCUCUUGAAGAGCGGCAACGGCACUGCUUUGGAAUCUCAAAUCAGUCUUAAAAUCUUGAGCGAUUUCUCUC
rnacentral:lncRNA from 1 species